CGUAAAUCUAGGCUAUAUUGAAUGGGUGCAGAUGGCCAUGGCUUUCUUACUGCAGCCAAGAGUCUCGCGCAUCUGUGCAUGACGUCAGUGUGUCGUGUACUAGAAAGGGGUCUAUAAGAAACAAUAACUAGGCAAUUCACACUGCAUGGUUUUAAAACAGUGUUCGAGUCUCUUGUCUUUAUGUGUCAUUUUGUUUAAUCUGCUGCCAAGAAAAAAAUAUAUAUAUAUUUAGCCUGCUUCAUCGGUUAACGUCACAGCUCUUUCCUCAUUCGAGUGUGGCGGCUGCGUUCAGAAUCUGAAGAAAGAUGAGCUGACGUUAUUCCAGAGGCGGGCGGACAGUGGAAUUGCGUGUGUGCCUGACUGUGUAGCCGGCUGGUAGACACGUCUUUGCUGGGUUCCAGGACAAGGCGGAUGGUGGUAUCCUUGUCUCGAUGCUAGGAAUGGAGGAAUUUGUCACCGACGAGGAAGAGCCAUGGUACGACCAGCAAGAUCUCGAAUCGGAAAGAAGAAGAGGGAGGGAAAUGGAGAGACAGUAGAAGAUAAAAGGAUGAAGCCAGGAUGAGCCAUGAGAGAGAGAGGAGAAAGAUCAGAAGAGAACAAGCCCCAUUUCUCUGUCCCAUUCUCUACACCCAGCCUUCCUCUCUGCACCCAGCCUUCCUCUCUGCACCCAGCCUUCCUCUCUGCACCCAGCCUUCCUCUCUGCACCCAGCCUUCCUCUCUGCACCCAGCCUUCCUCUCUGCACCCAGCCUUCCUCUCUGCACCCAGCCUUCCUCUCUGCACCCGGUCUUCCUCUCUGCACCCAGCACCCAGCCUUCAUCUCUUCACAUCUCUCUGGUGCAUCCUGUUAUCAUCAGAGGUGCUAUUUAACCAGAAGGUUUGGCAGAUUGAGAUGUGGUAAUAAUCAGAUGAAGAAGAGAACUUCCAUGCUUAGCAUCAAAGCAGGCAUUUAUUGGUGCAGCGAGGCAACCUGCUGUUCUAUACCGUAAGGAAUCAGCAAACGUGUUCCAUCUACAAUACAGACGCAGACAUUUCCGUGUAUUCUAUAAACACUACGUGAUGAGGAAAACAUAUCAAUGAUCAUGCUUGGAACCCUUUGUAACACAGACCAAAGCUGGCUCUAGGCCAAAGUCUGAGCUGAAGCUAUGUGCCCAGACCAGCUGAGGCCUGUUGGGACCUGAUUUGUUAGCAGAGCUGGACUUUACAUCUGAUGACAGGGUUGUAACGUCGCGUACCUGCUGUUAUUACAGUUUUAUCAUCUCUUCAACAACCACCUCUCUACGUCUCCACGUACCUGCUGUUAUUACAGCUUUAACAUCUCUUCAACAACCACCUCUCUACGUCUCCACGUACCCGCUGUUAUUACAGCUUUAACAUCUCUUCAACAACCACCUCUCUACGUCUCCACGUACCCGCUGUUAUUACAGCUUUAACAU
rnacentral:lncRNA from 1 species